rnacentral:rRNA from 3 species
GGACUACUGGGGUUUCUAAUCCCGUUUGCUCCCCUGGCUUUCGCGCAUCAGCGUCAGAAAGGAUCCAGCACACCGCUUUCGCCACCGGAGUUCCUAUGGAUAUCAACGCAUUUCACCGCUCCACCCACAGUUCCGUGUGCCCCUAUCCUCCUCGAGACCAUCAGUAUCCGAGGCCGUUCUCCAGUUGAGCUGGAGGAUUUCACCCCGGACUUGAUAGCCCGCCUACGCGCCCUUUAAGCCCAGUGAUUCCGAACAACGUUCGCACGGUUCGUCUUACCGCGGCUGCUGGCAC